GCAUGGCUAAGUACUGUGUUUUAUUUAUCAGUAGUUUGCAUAGCCAAACACCAUGCAAAAAAAAGGAAGAAAGAAAAAA
rfam:Myotis lucifugus cont2.14506, whole genome shotgun sequence.